UUAUCCGGAUCCAGCUGGUCCUGUCAGAUGUUGGAUAUUGACAGCUGUCAGAUCUCAGGAAGAUGAUUGGCCAGUUGCACAAGCGGCGGGAAAAUCCUCUUCAGCUGAUUGGAGAAGCAGUCCUGUAGCUUGAAUCCCUUGUAAGCUCCUCCGCUUCCUGGAG